rnacentral:rRNA from 1 species
UGGGGAAUAUUGGACAAUGGGCGCAAGCCUGAUCCAGCAAUACCGCGUGUGUGAUGAAGGUCUUCGGAUUGUAAAACACUUUUAAUUAGAAAGAUGGUGAGGAUGCUAAUACCAUGCCUCAUUGACGUUACUAAUAGAAUAAGCACCGGCUAACUCUGUGCCAGCAGCCGCGGUAAGACAGAGGGUGCAAGCGUUAAUCGAAAUAACUGGGCGUAAAGAGUACGUAGGCGGGGACGUCAGUCGUAUGUGAAAGAUCGAGGCUCAACCUUGAAACGGCAUACGAUACUGCGUUCCUCGAGUAUGGCAGAGGUAAGUGGAAUUUCCGGUGUAGCGGUGAAAUGCAUAGAUAUCGGAAGGAACACCAGUGGCGAAGGCGGCUUACUGGGCCAUUACUGACGCUGAGGUACGAAAGCGUGGGGAGCAAACA